UACGAAGGGGGCUAGCGUUGUUCGGAUUUACUGGGCGUAAAGGGCGCGUAGGCGGAUUUUUAAGUCAGGGGUGAAAUCCCAAGGCUCAACCUUGGAACUGCCUUUGAUACUGGGGAUCUUGAGUCCGGGAGAGGUGAGUGGAACUGCGAGUGUAAAGGUGAAAUUCGUAGAUAUUCGCAAGAACACCAGUGGCGAAGGCGGCUUCCUGGUCUGCGACUGACGCUGUGGCGCGAAAGCUAGGGGAGCAAACGGG
rnacentral:rRNA from 1 species